UCAUCGUCUCUAACGUUAGAGGACUACAAAAAACACUCGGAUUGUAGGCAACAGUUUACUUCCUGGGAUUAGUGACGUAGAUAAGACCAACAUUAUCAUAGUUCAGCCCUCUCUGCUUUGCUUGGGUACGCCCUCAAAGACGAGGGUGGGGAGCGCCGAGUCAGAAGAGAGCUAAAAUGGCGGAGGUUGUGAGUCCCUGCUUUGACUCUGUUUGCAAACUCUUGUUUCAUUGUUUAAGCGAUUAAAUCUCUCGAGUAGACGCUGUCUCUUUAGAUGCGAGGGAAAAAUAGCACUUUAUGGACUUCCACAGAGGACAUCAUGUUUAAUACGGUUCCGGAAAAAUCCAGUCAGAAGUUGUUCACGGAGUUUUCACAAUAACUGCUUCUCAUGAACCGAAGCUGGAUUUGUGCGACGUCUCCUCUUGAAAGUUGGAUUACUGUGCACUUCUGGAUCACAGGCUGUAAGUAUUCACGUUUAUUAUUUGCCUUUUACUGUACGUUACGUAACCGGUAACCGGAGAUUAACAUAAUGUGCGUGUAGAGCUAAGCUUGCAAGCAAAUUGUUUUGUGUUGUAAUACUGUAUUUCAUAAACAACGUACCAUAUUUACACACGUGUAUGUUGAAUUAUGCAGACUAUCGUUUUUUUUUAUCGAUGUUGGUUUAGACAUGUUUACAAACUUGCUAAGUUGCUAAGCUAAAUACAAAUACAAAUGCCAGCUAAACUGUUACCAGUAAAAUUUGUUCUCAUGAUCAAACUCAAGAAACUCUAAGUACAGAUGAUUUGUUUAAAGUUAUAUGUAUUUUACUGUUGUAUUUACUUGAAGCUUUCUUAGAUUUUGAAACGAAGUAAACACGUAAUGUGUGUUGCUAAUGUUGGGCCAUGUAAUAUGUAAUACAUUUACGUUUUAAUGAAUAGUCUAACGAUUUAUAGUCAUGGUACUCUAUUGUUAUAAUAUGUCUUUUUGACUGAAUACAUGUUUGUUUUAUUUGUCUAUAUCCUAGAUUCGCAGCUGGACACAUCCUUCUACACUGUAUGCAAACAUGCAACAUCAUAACACACAGUACAAGGAGUCAGACUGGCAUAUGAGGAGCAAAGGAACCCAGACAGUAGCAUCGUUUCACAAUGUUUCCAUCACCAUCAUCAGUGGAUGCCUUUGCCGUCCGUAGCCUGAGAUUUCAGAUUUGAAGCAAAAAAAAUUUGAUUUUCUCAUUUAUUGGAAUGCUGUGCAGGUAUUUAAGUAUUUUAGUAACUGUGUUAAAUAAAGUAGUAUUUACUUUUACAAUAAAUUAAUUGCUUGUUUAUAUUUUACAGGUAUUUGUACCUUGCAGCCAUCCAUUACAAUGUCACCAAGCCGUAACAAAAGCAGGAGAGGGAAAGUACAAGGCUAUGUUCCCAAAACACAAAUGACAUACCUUGUGUGGAUGAUGUGAUCAGGCUUGUGUUUGAUGAGGUAUUUGAAGAUAAGCUGAAGGAAACCCCGAUUCCAAUGGACCUGGCAUCACAGUUUGAGAGACCUUCAAAGGAGGACGUGAUUGCAUGCCAUCUUCAGUGCAGGGGUCGUCGAAAGCCAAAAUUGUGACCGAUCUGAUCAGGAAGCUCCAAGCGUAUCUGGAGAACAACACACGACAGGAUGAUAACCUUAUAGUGUCGUCUUAAAUAGCACCAGCUGACAAAGCUUUGAUAUGCCAUUUAUCUGAAUAGAUAGCUGUAAGAAAUUAAUUGAACAAUUUUUGAAAGAAGAGCACAAUAUGGUUACUAAAGUAUGUUUAUUUGUAUAUUGUUUAACAUUUAAAUAUAUAUUUGUAAUAAAUAAAAAAAACUUUUGACUGACUAUUA